UACAGAGGUGGCAAGCGUUGUUCGGAAUUACUGGGCGUAAAGGGCGCGUAGGCGGCUCGACAAGUCCCGCGUGAAAGCCCCCGGCUCAACUGGGGAACUGCGCGGGAAACUGUCGGACUUGAGUUCGGGAGAGGGAAGCGGAAUUCCAGGUGUAGCGGUGAAAUGCGUAGAUAUCCGGAGGAACACCGGUGGCGAAGGCGGCUUCCUGGACCGACACUGACGCUGAGGCGCGAAAGCUAGGGGAGCAAACGGG
rnacentral:rRNA from 1 species